rnacentral:rRNA from 1 species
UACGUAGGGGGCUAGCGUUGUCCGGAAUCAUUGGGCGUAAAGAGCGUGUAGGCGGCCAUGUAGGUCCGUUGUGAAAACUCGAGGCUCAACCUCGAGACGCCGAUGGAAACCAUGUGGCUAGAGUCCGGAAGAGGAGAGUGGAAUUCCUGGUGUAGCGGUGAAAUGCGCAGAUAUCAGGAAGAACACCCGUGGCUAAGGCGGCUCUCUAGUACGGUACUGACGCUGAGACGCGAAAGCGUGGGGAGCAAACAGG